AUGGGCGGGCGCUGGCGUAUUUGCAGCAGUCCGCGGGGAUGGAAGUUGAGGACCCGCACUCAGGCCUCGCUUCUGUCCCUCCCGGCUUCCUUUCUCUCCUCGGACCCGGUAUCCGCCCCUCCGCGUCUCUCCCAUCCCGUCCAGCCCCUGCUUCCCCGCGGACACACCGCUCCUCCCGGCCUUGGGACCUUGACUCUGCAGCCCCAGCCCGGGCCGCAUCCGCGUCCCCUUCCCCGGCUGCUGCUCCGCUGCUCCUGGCCUGCCUUCCUUCUCCCUCCUCCGUCUCCGCAGCUUUGCCUGCAUAUCCGUGCGUCUUCGCUGCCGCUUCCUCCCGCCCGUCUCCGUCCUCCCAGCCCAGGACCGCGGCCUCCCGCGCCAAUACUUGACUUUACUCAGUUCGAGGACCGGCUGGUGCCAUCCUUGCGCAUCUCCACAUCGGGUCUGUUUGUUUUAUUCAGGGCUCGGUUCCUGUCAGCCCUGAAACCAAUCUUUUUGCAGGUUUUAUCGCCUGGUAUUCUCGUUCUCCGGACGCCAGAGCAGGCACUGUUCCUAACCCGCUAGAUCUUAAGAGUGGACGCUUAUAUUCUCUAGUCUCGUAAAGAAUUGAGUUUUGCUUCUACUCAGGUGUUCCGGAAGUUAUUCACGAAUGGGUUUUAUUUUAUAAUGAUACUGGAGGCUUGCAACGGACCCUUAAAAGAAAAAACAAACUGUUGUAUCUAUCGGAUGAGUAGACAAUAUGAGUGUAAAGUGAUUUCUCAGUUUAUGGAGACAAACAUGCACAAAACCUUUUCCCUUGUCAUUGUUAAAUUUCAAAAUCUUGGUUUAACUCAAAAUAAGUACUAUGUAUUCACAUAUGUUCAUUGUAACCAUGGUUCUCAGGCCCUAAGAUCUCAUGGAUUGGCGCUGGGUGUAAACGUCCCAUCAAGCUAUCUUGAUAAAAAAAUUAGUGUUUAAAUUUUUGGAACAUUACUGGAAUUAGAGGAAUAAAUGCUGUAGCUUUUGUUCUCCUUGCAAAUUAAGAGGUCACUAGAAAUUCUCAUACUUAAGAAGAAAAAAAAUACAAGACUACCUGUUUUUCUUUUAGAAACUCAGUUGGGUCUGCAAAGCCUUUUAAAAAAAAUCUUUUAUACAUGGUCUUCUUUUUGCUAUUCUGUUCCACUUUUUCCCCAAUACUAAUUCUAAUAAUAUUGUGCUUGUUUUCUGGAUGGUCAUAGGCUCACUUGUCGUUGUAUUGACUAAGUCAUGUCCAACUCUUUGCAACCCCAUGAACUAUAGCCUGCCAGGCUCUGCCAGUCUUCCUCUGUCCAUGGGGUUAACUCAGCAAGAAUACUGGAGUGCAUUGCCACUCCUGAAGUUCCUUCUCCAGGGAUCUUCCCGACCCAGGGAUCGAGCCUGCAUUUCCUGCUUGGCAGGCAGAUUCUUUACCACUGAGCCACCAGGAAGCCCCAGUUUUUCUUAGGCCUUCUUAAGGCAAACCUGCCCAUUGCUGCAGCUCCUGGGUUUAUUAGACUCAGAAAAACAAUUUGAAUGGUGUCGAAUAUGUUACACACAUUCAUAAAAAAUUUAUCAUGAUAAAAAGAACUUUUGCAUUUCUUAGCUCCUUUUAAGUAUCUUCCAGAAAAUUAGUAUCUGGUAUGUGGACUGCUAUAGCCUUAUGUAAUUUCACAUUUUUAAAAAAAGGUACAAGAAGGAAGUGAUUUAAACAAUAACUUUAUAAACUGAAACAAAUUUACCUUUAAAACAAACAGAACCAUCCACCUGAGCCUUUCCAUAUGAAAUAGAUCUAUCUGCACUUUCUUUCAUAGUAUUGGGAAACUCAAGAGUGUCAUACAUGAACAUCAGUGCUUGCUUAUGUGUUCAGAAUCUAGCAAUAGAAACUGGAAUACUAAAAUGAAUGCACAGAACAAAUUUAUACCUUUUGGUAUUCAUUUUAUUUCACUAGCAUUUUUACAGAUAUACAUAUGUAUGUGUAUGUAUAUUAUGUGUAUGUAUGUAUAUUAUGUUGUUCUAAACUUUAUCUGAUCCAAUACUUGCUUCUUAUAAUAUUUUGUAAUACUCACUUUACUCUUCUGAAAUCAAAAUCAUAGUUUUAAAUCUCAAUGGUGCUCUAACUGUAAAAUAAAAGAAGAUAAUUGUAAUAAAAUAUCAGCAUGCAAAUGCUCAGGUAGCAGAAUAUAAUGAAGCCUGGUGUGCUGAAGUCCAUAGGGUCACAAAGAGUUGGACACAACUUAGUGACUGAACAACAAAAUCAAUUACUCCAGCCUUAUGUUCAAUUGCUGUGUAUACAGUGGCCCCAAAUACAGUCGUGUCACAAACUUAAAUUGUGUGACUAGAAUUUCAAUCAAUGAUAUGAUUUUGCAAAAUGCUGACCUCCUGGUAAAGGUCUAUAUAAAAUAAGUAUUUACAACCAUCCUUUGAUUUAUAUGGUAGUUUCAGUUCUGGAAAAUUCAAUGCAUAUUUAAACUGUGAAAAAUCCUUUGUGAUUAUUUGUAAAGUAGCAAUAGGUUGUAGGCUCAGGUAUGAAUUAUCUGAAAUUGGUUACGUGCUAAAUGUUGGAGGUUGCAUCAUAGUUCUUCCUUCUAGGAACCGUCCUGCACAUGGCAGACAUCUGGCAUUCUCGGUCUUCAUCACUAAGUGCUCACAAUGUCCCUAUCGUUUUGAUAAUAAAACAUCUGUACGAUACUUCUUCACUGCUGUUCAGCAGCCAGUACUGCCAGUCGAGGACCUCUGAUCUAGAUGUCCCUGUUACUGGAUUUGAAGAUAUAACAACAGGAAGGAAAGUAAAAUCUCCAAACCAUUUCUAUAAAAUCUUGGUUCUGAGCUUUUGUAAUAAUUAUGGGAAGCGGAAGCUAAUUAUAUUUUUAUUUAACUUUUAAACCGUUCUUCUAUUAUUCCAGGUGAAAGGUUUUAAUGAUCAGUGUUAAUUGCCAAUGAGAAAAUAAACAAGUAUAGAUUAUCUGAAAAAAGACAAAGCUCCAUAAUAUAGUGAUAUCAGGACUUAUUUAUUAACUUGGCUCUUAUUUAAGUGUGCAGAUAAUGUUAUCUUUUCAGAUACCUCUUUUAAAGGCUAAUUUUAUCGAAAGUGAAAUUUAUUUCAAUUUCUGUUUUACAUUUUAAUGCUAGAAUCCUCUGAUAAUUUAGAUAAACAGGCUAAAAGGUUCUCAUUCAUGCUCACAUUUUCUUAAGCAAGUUAUGAAUUAUGAUAAAAAUAUUCUGGGCAGGAUAUAUGCAAGAAGUAUGGAAUUUGAAUUACUCAAAUAUGUUGAUUAAUACCAUCAAUAUGUGCCUUAUGAAUUGUCAGAAAAAAUUAAAAUUCUAUUUUACUUAAUGUUCUUAUUCUAUUUUUAUGAAUUCUGAGGGCAUUUGGGAAACUUUCAUCAGCCAUCAUUGCACAGAUAUAGAUGUAUGUUACAGCAAAGAAUAACAAAAUUCAGUUUAAUAGCAUAAUUCUAAACAAUGUGUGAUCCAGCUCAAAAGAGCAUCUCUUAUAAUCGCUGGCCCCAGCAGAGCUGCAAACCAGAAGGCAUGCCUCCUCCGAUUCUUUUUUCCGCUCUUGGACUUUUAUGUUUCUGUUUUUGACCGAAUUCUCUGUCUUAGGCUGAAAAUGAGAAAGAAGUUAUUCAUUCCAGGGCAGGCAGAUACUGGAAAAUCCUUAUGUCCUUGGGUCAGUUUUACUUAGAGCUGGUUCAGGGAACAUUAACUAUUUUAUUGACUUGAAGAGUAAUUGGAUAAUUAAAAAAAAAAUCCGUCUCUAAGGUGAACAAGCAGAAUGUGGGUUGGGUAAGUACUAGCUUAAAAUCUUGAAAAUGAGAAAUGUUCCUCUAGGAAGAUGGAUGCUAUUGUCUCUCUCUGCUCUGAUGCAGUGUGUGUGCUGAGCUCAGGUUUGAGCAUCGUGGGAUCCCAUGGGCGUGGCACUGACCAGGUCUGCGAGUGGACUGCUGCGGGGCAUGGGGCUAAGACCCUGGAAGUUACUCCUCUCAAUGAGGCUAUAGUGAAAGAAAUUAUUAUGUUUGUGGAGAGUUUUAUCUAUAAAUAUCCCCAAGAGGCAAACUAUGUUUUGUAGAACCGCUGGAAUGGAAAACAAAUUUGGACCCUCAGCGUUUGGAUCAGGCUAUGCUGUCAGGUAAGCCAGUGAAUUGCUUCUAGAGUUUAAUGUCUUCGGUUGUAUGUUUUUAUUGAUUGAUUGUAGGUUUAAGGCAAAUCGCUUAACCUGUGUGACUCUCAGAACUCUCAGAAACCUGGAGGCACUUGGGUGAAAUCUGAGGAUGUGUAGUUGGCCAAUACACUGUUUAUCUAAUUUUACAUUUGAAUUUUCUUUUGAUAGGAAUGUAUUUCCAGGUCACUGCACUCUCCAACAUUUGCUGUUGCUUUGUGACUGGUCUUUCCACUCACACGAACUGCCAGAUGCCACCAGGCAUUGGUUUCGUGACCUGAGAUAAAGACAAAACCCUUCUGGUAUUUAAAUCUGUGGGGCAGCAAAGGAGAGCAGUACAUUUUGCUUACUAUAAGGAAAAGACUUUUUAACAAUUAGCAUUGUCCUUAAAUGAGACCCUUCCAAAUCUGAGAUUCAAAAAAAAUUCUACCUCCACCUCAAACAGCAGGCUAGCAAUUUCUCUUUUAAUCAUAGCUAAAUAUAUAUUUUAUAUAAAUUACAUAGGUUUAUGUAAAUAUAAUUCUACUUAUAUAAAAUGUAUUCUGUAAAUAUACAUUGUAGAUGAUAAAUAUAUGUAAAUUCAUAUAUUCUUUUUUUGGUCAAUUUCAGCUUAUGUGUCACUUUAGGCAUUCUGAUCCACUUCCUUUGUUCCUCUUUAGUUUUGCAUAUGAACUUUUAAAGUCUGAUCUUAUGAAAAACAGUUCUCUGGCCAAAGUUUGCUGUACAUGCCUUUUCCAUUUGGGAUUAUUUUUAGCAUAAACUCAGAAUUUAAUUUUAGAACUGUAAAAUCAUUCUUUUUUAAAAGUCUUUAUCGAAUUUGUUACCAUAUUGCUUCGGUUUUAUGUUUUGGGUUUUGGCCCGAGGCAUGUGGGAUUUUAACUCCUGAUUAGGAAUCAAACCUGUACCCUUAACUGGAAGUCUUAAAUCACUGGACCACCAGGAAGUCCCUGGAAAAUCAUUCUUGAACUGUAUUUCAAGGCGCUUUGGUUCUGAUAUCAUGGUCUAUUUUCUCUCUGAGUUUUCAGAAACCUUUUUUUUUUAAAUUAUAUUUUAUGUUUAACAGUGCUAAUGGUCACUUUCUCCCAAAGUGUUUUAUUUCUCUCACCUGAGUUCAGUGUAGCAUCAAGCAGGAUGUUUGGACAUUUUGACACCGUGUAUGUUUUGAACCAGCUAACCCUUUGUGUCUUUCUUCCGUCAAGUUUACCAUGCAGCUCUUGGUGGGCCAGUUUUUCUAUUUGUCAUUCCUGUUUCUGACCUUGGUCGAUGAUCUCUUUGAUGAUGGAAGAAGUGAGAGGGGUGUGAUAGUAGCCGUUGCUGCAUAGGAGGGUGGAAACUAUUCCUGUGUGUCUUGAUGGAAACCAG
rnacentral:lncRNA from 1 species